rnacentral:tRNA from 1 species
GCGCCUUUAGCUUAGCUGGUAGUAGCAGAUGACUCUUAAUCAUCAGGUCCUGUGUCCGAGUCCCAGAGUGCGCACCA